rnacentral:rRNA from 1 species
UUUAGCAAGUACACCUGAGCAAAGAGAACUUUAGUUCAAAACCCCGAAACUAGACGAGCUACUUCAAGGCAGCCUGUUAUUUAAUAACCCGUAGGGCACACCCGUCUCUGUCGCAAAAGAGUGGGAAGACCUUCAAGUAGAGGUGAUAUUCCUACCGAGCCUAGUAAUAGCUGGUUGUCUAAAAAGUGAAUUUAAGUUCAGCCUCCCGAUUCCCCCCAUCCCCGACACCACGUCCCCACAGAUUACAGGGUGACCGAGAGAGUUAGUCAAAGAGGGUACAGCCUCUUUGAAAAAGGACACAACCUCCUCGAGCGAGUAAAGAUCAUAUUAUCCCUAAGGAUACUUAUUCUAGUGGGCCUAAAAGCAGCCACCUAAGAAAAAAGCGUUAUAGCUCAUGUAAGUCCCCGCCCAUAAUACCGAGCCCGACUCUUCCCUCCUCGCCACCUAUUAGACCCUUCCACAAACCCUGGAAAAGACCCUGCUAAAAUGAGUAAUAAGAGUAACACCUCUCCAGCACACACGCGUACGUCGGAGCGGACCCACCCCCGACAAUUAACGGCCCGCUAAUGAGGGUCCUGUCCCACCACACAAAUAACUAGAAAAUUCAACAUACCUCCACCGUUAACCCAACACAGGUGUGUCACCUCCGGAAAGACUUAAAUAAAGGGAAGGAACUCGGCAAACACAAGCCUCGCCUGUUUACUAAAAACAUCGCCUCUUGCAAAACAAACGAAUAAGAGGUCCCGCCUGCCCAGUGACACUCGUUAAACGGCCGCGGUAGUCUAACCGUGCAAAGGUAGCGCAAUCACUCGUCUUUUAAAUGAAGACUGGUAUGAACGGCAUCACGAGGGCUUAGCUGUCUCCCCUCUAAAGUCAAUGAAAUUGAUCCCCCCGUGCAGAAGCGGGGAUACACUCGUAGGACGAGAAGACCCUAUGAAGCUUAAGAUUUUAAGUAACCCACGUCAAUCGCCCGACCCAGGCCAGCAAACAAAAGGGGCCUUACUGACAUAUCUUCGGUUGGGGCGACCACGGGGAAAAACAAAACCCCCACAUGGAGUAGGGCUACACUCGCCCUAAAACAUAGACCCACCGGUCAAAUCAACAGCACUUCUGACCACCAGACCCGGCACAAGCCGCUCAAUGAAUCAAGUUACCCUAGGGAUAACAGCGCAAUCCCCUCCGAGAGUCCUUAUCGACGAGGGGGUUUACGACCUCGAUGUUGGAUCAGGAUGUCCUGAUGGUGCAGCCGCUGUCGAGG